rnacentral:tRNA from 1 species
GGGAAUGUAGCUUAGUAGUAGAGUACUUGCCUAACAUGUAUGAAGCCCUGAGUUCGAUUCCUCAGUACCCU